CGCCGCGUGGACGAAGAAGGCCUUCGGGUUGUAAAGUCCUUUUCUGGGGGACGAUAGUGACGGUACCUCAGGAAUAAGUCCCGGCUAACUACGUGCCAGCAGCCGCGGUAAAACGUAGGGGGCGAGCGUUAUCCGGAUUUACUGGGCGUAAAGCGCACGUAGGCGGCGCUGUAAGUUGGAUGUGAAAGCUCCUGGCUUAACUGGGAGAGGUCGUUCAAUACUGCAGUGCUUGAGGUUGACAGAGGAGAGUGGAAUUCCCGGUGUAGUGGUGGAAUGCGUAGAUAUCGGGAGGAACACCAGUGGCGAAAGCGGCUCUCUGGGUCACACCUGACGUUGAGGUGCGAAAGCGUGGGUAGCGAACGGGAUUAGAUACCCCGGUAGUCCACGCCGUAAACGAUGGAUACUAGGUGUAGGAGGUUAUUUACCCCUUCUGUGCCGUAGCUAACGCGUUAAGUAUCCCGCCUGGGGACUACGGCCGCAAGGUUA
rnacentral:rRNA from 1 species